UACGAAGGGGGCUAGCGUUGUUCGGAAUUACUGGGCGUAAAGGGCGCGUAGGCGGCGUGUCAAGUCAGGCGUGAAAUCCCCAGGCUUAACCUGGGAACUGCGUGUGAUACUGGAUGGCUUGAAUCCGGGAGAGGGAUGCAGAAUUCCAGGUGUAGCGGUGAAAUGCGUAGAUAUCUGGAGGAAUACCGGUGGCGAAGGCGGCAUCCUGGACCGGCAUUGACGCUGAUGAGCGAAAGCUAGGGGAGCAAACGGG
rnacentral:rRNA from 1 species